rnacentral:rRNA from 1 species
GACGAACGCUGGCGGCGUGCUUAACACAUGCAAGUCGAACGAAGAGCGAUGGCAUCUUGCUUCUAUCAAUCUUAGUGGCGAACGGGUGAGUCACGCGUAAUCAACCUGCCCUUUAGGGGGGGACAACAGUUGGAAACGACUGCUAAUACCGCAUACUCCCUAAUCUCGGCAUCGAGGAUAGAUGAACGGUGGCCUCUACAUGUAAGCCAUCACUGCAGGAGGGGACUGCGUCUGAUUAGCUAGUUGGAGGGGUCACGGCCCACCUAGGCGAUGAUCAGUAGGCGGUCUGAGAGGAUGAGCGGCCACACUGGGACUGAGACACGGCACAGACUCCUACGGGAAGCAGCAGGAGUGCAUCGUCCGCAAUCGAUGAAAGUCUGACGGCGCAACGCCGAGUGAGUGAUGACGGACUUCGGGUUGGAAAGCUCGGUUUAUCGGGUGGAAAGGCCUUCUUGCGAAUAGGGAGAAGGAUUGACGGUACCGGAAUAGAAAGCCACGGCUAACUACGUG